GCUGGGCCUGCUGCUGCACACCGGUAGCUCCAGCUACUCUGGAGGCUGAGGCAAGAGGAUCAGUUGAGCCCAGCUGUUCUGGGCUGUAGCAUGUUUUGUUGAGUGAGUGUCUGCACUAAGUUUGGCAUCAAUAUGGUGACCUCCCAAGAAGGGGGGACCACCCGGUUGCCUAAGGAGGGGUGAACUGCCUCAAGUCUGAAACAGAGCAGGUCAAAACUCCUGUGCUGGUCAGUAGUGGGAUUGUGCCUAUAAAUAGCCACCGCCCUGCAGCCUGGGCAACAUUAGGAGAGCCCUGUCUCUA
rfam:Otolemur garnettii contig108310, whole genome shotgun sequence.